GUUGCUUCCAGUAAAUCAGUCUUGUUCCAGCAUUAAGCUUUGGCUCAUGUGUGGAUUAUUUGGCGAUACCAGCGAUAUUUGUUCCUGUGGAUUUUAGGCAAUACUCUGCUUAUUGGGAAAAAGGGAAAACUGGUCGGUGAUACAGAUUACUACCGUCACAACUGGUUGGCAGCGGCAGGAUUUUACUUUUUCCAAAAUGAG